UACAGAGGUCCCGAGCGUUGUUCGGAUUCACUGGGCGUAAAGGGUGCGUAGGUGGCCUGAAAAGUUUGAUGUGAAAGCUCAGGGCUUAACCCUGAAAUGGCAUUGAAUACUGUCGGGCUGGAGGUUUGGAGGGGGGACUGGAAUUCUUGGUGUAGCAGUGAAAUGCGUAGAUAUCGGGAGGAACACCUGUGGCGAAAGCGGCUCACUGGACCAUUACUGACGCUGAUGCACGAAAGCUAGGGGAGCAAACAGG
rnacentral:rRNA from 1 species